CCCACAUGAUGUUAAACCCAAAGUGAAAGGGAGUGCGCAUCUGGCAACAGUUGGCGCACGCAUGACCAAUAACUAAUCUUCUCGCUGAUGGA
rnacentral:snoRNA from 15 species